rnacentral:rRNA from 1 species
AGUGAACGCUGGCGGUAGGCCUAACACAUGCAAGUCGAACGGCAGCACAGUAAGAGUUUGCUCUUACGGGUGGCGAGUGGCGGAUGGGUGAGGAAUAGAUCGGAAUCUACUUUUUCGUGGGGGACUACGUAGGGAAACUUACGCUAAUACCGCAUAUGACCUACGGGUGAAAGCAGGGGAUCUUCGGACCUUGCGUGAUUGAAUGAGCCGAUGUCGGAUUAGCUAGUUGGCGGGGUAAAGGCCCACCAAGGCAACGAUCCGUAGCUGAUCUGAGAGGAUGAUCGGCCACACUGGAACUGAGACACGGUCCAGACUCCUACGGGAGGCAGCAGUGGGGAAUCUUGGACAAUGGGCGCAAGCCUGAUCCAGCCAUACCGCGUGGGUGAAGAAGGCCUUCGGGUUGUAAAGCCCUUUUGUUGGGAAAGAAAAGCAGCAGGUUAAUACCCCGCUGUUCUGACGGUACCCAAAGAAUAAGCACCGGCUAACUUCGUG